rnacentral:rRNA from 1 species
CAAACUGAAGAUGGCGACCGGCGCACGGGUGAGUAACACGUAUCCAACCUGCCGAUAACUCUGGAAUAGCCUUUCGAAAGAAAGAUUAAUACCGGAUAGUAUACGAAUAUCGCAUGAUAUUUUUAUUAAAGAAUUUCGGUUAUCGAUGGGGAUGCGUUCCAUUAGUCUGUUGGCGGGGUAACGGCCCACCAAGACUACGAUGGAUAGGGGUUCUGAGAGGAAGGUCCCCCACAUUGGAACUGAGACACGGUCCAAACUCCUACGGGAGGCAGCAUG